AGAGAGAGAGAGAGAGAGAGAGAGAGAGAGAGAGAGAGAGAGAGAGAGAGAGAGAGAGAGAGAGAGUUAUUUUUAUCUAUCUUUCUUUUGAGGCAGGUUUUCUUUAAUUUUUUUUUUUUUCUGAAGGGAAGUUACAACGAAUGAAAAGAGAUGACGCAGCUACAAAUAAUGUUCACCAGACUGUCUGUAGGUACUUCUUUCUGCCUUACAGCACCCUCUUUAUAAAGCAGCGAAUUGGGAGUUUCUAUAAAAGUGUCGGUGAAUUGAGGAGUUACACUGACAAUGUAGCCGUGCGCAUCAAAUUCCCAGCAGUGCUCGCCUCAACAGUCACUGCGGGGCGCGGGGCAUGUUGCAUCCUGCCUUCUUUCAGCUUGGCGGAUGAAUUCUUUUCAUGGCGUGGCUUGCGAGGCGGCCUGAUCACCUCACUUCAUCAUCAUCAGCCUCUCUCAUUCCACUGUGAUUGCUAAACGCUAAAUUCUGUGUUAUUACUCAUACGGAACAUCAGGCUUUUAUCUUUCACACGGUUAUCUUCCACGGUUUUAUCUAGAGUCCAGGCAAUAUUCGGUGGGUGACAUACACACAUGUAUCCAAGCAUUAAGAGACAGGUUGGAGAUGUCUUGAGGAAGAAGAAACUGUAUGUAAACCUGCGAGCACGAAGGAAAUACGUUGAAAAGGUGGAUGAGAGAGAGAGAGAGAGAGAGAGAGAGAGAGAGAGAGAGAGAGAGAGAGAGAGAGAGAGAGAGAGAGAGAGAGAGAGAGAGAGAGAUGAAAGUAAUUGCUGACUGCUAUUAUAAUUUUUCACUCAUCUCUAUUCUGGGAAUCUCUAUUUGUUUAUGUUCUUUAUAUGUUGUCUUUUAUCCACUUCCUGCGCCUUGAACAAUUUCAAAAGACGAGUAUCCAGACACCUCCAAUUAAACUGGCAAACUUUUUUUCGACUUAUCCUCUGAUUUUUUUGUGAGCAGCAAGUUGAGUUUGUAAACAUAUAUAUUUUUUUUUAACGGGCCAGUUUCCUUAAAAAAAAAAAAAAAAAAAAAAAAAAAACAAUUAAGAAUCAAGCCCGUGUUUUAGGAGAUUCAAAUUUCAAAUAUUAUCGGGGAAGCAGCUUGCAUUGCUAUGGAGGCCAAAAUUCAGCGGCAGCACCAAGACAUUCCCGAGGAACUAAUCUGAUGAUAGACGACUGGAAUUGCCAGAGAGACUAAGUCAGUAACAGAAAACACGAAACAUCAUGGCAAGGUGGACUUCAGUGUCUUCCUCCAGCAGACACCAUACUCUCAUCACGUCCUUCCUUCUCCUUUCUCCCCGUUCUGAUUCGUCACUUUUCUUCCUUCCUCCCUCUCUCACUUGCUCUCUCUCUCUCUCUCACACACACACACACACACACACACACACACACACACCACUUACUUUUUUCUGUCCUCACCGAAAAAUAAAUAAAUAAAAAAUUACAGUGACAGAUAAACGAAAGGGAGUGAACGGGAAACACGAUAAACUAAACGAGAUACUCACAUACAAGACUAUAAUGCUCUCAAAAUAUGCUCAACUAUCGACUAAUGGGUUUGUUAUCUGUUAUUUGCAACCCUCUCGUUGAAAGAUUUGUAAUGCUGUUCACUGAAGUACCAGAAGGUUGUCAGGAGUGCGGGACGUGCUCAAACAACAUUAAAUUAAUAUCUUGCUAUACACAAGCCGGAAUGAAAAGUCAGCAACUAAGUCAGUGAGUGCAGGAAAGUGUCUGUGCAACUCAUAGGAGAAGUGGAAACAAUAAUCUUUGAGAGGCGUACGAAGGUUUUUUUUUUUCUUUUUGUACUUUUUCUCUUUGUACUUCUUUCGUCGAGAUCCAGAAGGAAUUUGGGUUACUAGUUUACUUUCCAUGUGCUACUCGAAAUGGAUGUUUGCUGACAUACUUACGUAGGGGAUAAGAACGUGUUAGCUGUCCGGUGUUUGUCCCGGUGUGGUCUUGAAGUGAUUCGUUACGUGUCGAAACUUUUCCUGAGUCUAGGUCACAUAAAACUAUAUAUGCUGAAAUGCGCGAGUCAAUAACUAUUUGUGGCUUAGUGACGAUACCAACAAUCACUGUCACUAGCAUCUCAGUGUGGCAGGUCAGUGUUUUUUUUUAUUUCAACACUAUUACCAAAACAACAGAACGUGUCCAUCCAAGCAUUGUGUAAGCAAUACUUAACACCAAAAAAAGAACCAUCGAAUAUUUACAUUUACUCUUUUCCUCCACAUUUCAGGCCACAUCACGUUCAGAUGAGGUGUUCGGGGGACAAGGACGGAGUGUGUUCCUCAGUUUUUUUUUUUUUUUUGUAUUUCAGGAAAGAUGGCCCCUACUGCAGCUAACACCACCACCACCACCAAAACAUUACCCACACCGCCCACAGCAGCUUGUUGUCGCCUGCCUUGCUACACCCCACGUCUGGCCUAGCGGCGUGGGGGAAAGCUGCAGGUUUCCCUUCACCCCUCUUGUGGGUCUUCUGGCUCUCCUGUCCUUCAUCGCAUGUGUUGUUCUCUGCUUUGCCUUUCUCUUUAGUAUUGCGUGGGGACAUUACUUUAUUUUAUUCUCCCUGUUUCCUCUUUUUUGCUGCUGUCCUUUCUGCAUUUCACCUUCCCUUAAUUGUUUCUUUGCUCUGCCUUCUGGCACCUUGCUUUUUCUUCUACCUAUUACUGCUGCUGCUCAAGCUUUGGCCUCGAUUCACAGUAAUUUACCAAAGACUUAUCAUCCACAAAACAGAAUUAUUUGUUGGUCUUCAAUACAUUCCUUCUGCAUCUUUACUAGCUCCCAGUAUCUCGUUGUCUGAUGAAGGAAAACACUUUGUGUCUAGAUGCGGAAGGUAGACUCCAACUCGUUAACAGCAUCCAUCCACUCCUAUUUUGAGACCCCUUCAAUGGCACCGAACAACGAGAGGGAUCACCACUCUGCUGCUUAUUCCAAGUAACGUCAACAAGCAUCCACACGUCUGCCUUGUGCCUGAGGAACUACCGAGCUUCAUAGCUGCUCGCCAAAGUUGUUCGGUGCUGAAGGACACGCGAGUUUCGUGGCUUCGCCUCGAGCAGGGAGGACGGAGAGGAAGUGGUGGCGUGAGGGCACGGGUCAGUCCUUGUACGAGUACGUAGUGGCGUGAGGAGAAGAGACGGUCUUUGCAGUGAGAUGCUACGGGAAAUCACCGGUGAUGAAUGGAAACAUGUAAAAGGGAUGCAAACGUGGUUUCCCUGUCCCUUGUUGGUCGCGUAUCGGCAGAUUUCAGCGUUCCCUCACAUCUGUGCCUUCCUUGAUUCAAUGCGCCAUUUCUUCACAGCCUUCUCGUCCUCGUGCGUAGCCCACGCUAGGAGGCUGUAGAUCUUCUUUCACCAUUCCUCUUUCUCCUGGCCUUCCUGUCCCUCGUCGCAAGCAUUGCUCUCUCUUUUCCCUUCUUCCUCAGUAUUGCUUGGCGACAUCUCUUUAUUCUGUUCUCCUUACCCAUCUUCUUUGCUGCUGUCCUUUAAUUUGCCUUCGCUCACUUGAUUAGUUUCUACUUCUCCAUAUUUUUCUCCGUCCAACACCAACAUUUGGUCUUCGCAGGCUAAUGAACAGGAGGCUGAGGAGGAGGGUGGGCACAGCGCUGCAACCAGGCGAGCAGGGACGUGACAACCUGGCAGAACUGACACGGAAAAGGUUGACAGUACUGGCAUCGGCUGCAAAACCCUGACAAAGGAGGACAAACACUGGCCCACUGUCCCUAAGCGUCCGUGAGGCAGCAGCCGAUGAGUGCCGGAGCGGGCGCCGAGAGGCCAUUGAAUGAGAGGCGCUGAUGUCAUGCCAUUGUCAUCCUGACCCCGAAAAUGUCUCGCACGGUACACCCACCUCAGAUUCUAUCGUAUGUGUAUCGUCUGUCCGACUGUCCGUCUGUCUGUCUGUCUGUCUGUCUGUCUGUCUGUAUGUUUGUCUGUCCGUCUGUCUGUCUGGAAGCACGAAUGAAAGGUAAGAUGAAACGUUUACUCAGGAUAUGCUUGAAUCAAUAAGAACCCAAACCAGAAAAGACCAGAAGCACGAGGAGUAGAAUUUGGGUCAUUUUGCUUAAGCAUCAGUAUUGGAAGGACGCCGAUUCUCAUCACCACUCGUGUCUCUCUUCCCCGCCCUGUACCUGCACGUAGAACGCUAAAUGACACAAAUGUGAGGUAGAAAAAACUCCAGUAAUUCCACAUACUCUUGAAGAUAUUCCUGCUGCAGUUCAUGUAUAUAAGACACUACGCGGGUACAUAGGAAAAGCCGAUCAGUGGAGAUCACUUUAGAUUAACGAAUGUGUUGCUCUUAAGGUGAAACGUACUCGAGGCUCUAUGCUGCCCGGCUGAGAGGCGGGAAUGGUGGCGGUGAAGAAAGGGCCAUGCACGCCCACGUACUCAAUUGUCCUUCCUGACGCUCUCCCCAUUGUUAGAAAGUCUGCACUUAGCAUCUCGGCCUGCAUGCAGCGGCGGCGGCCAGACUUCCAAGGUUACUUAGUAAGCUGCUCUGAAUCCUUCUAUUAAACAUAAAAAUAAACACAUAUAUACCACACACAACACAACACACACACACACACACACACAUAAACACACACACACACACACACACACACACACAUAAACACACACACACACACACACACACACACACACACACACACACACACACACACACACACACACACACACACACACACAAACACACACACACACACACAAACACACACACACACACACACAUACCAAACACACACACACACACACACACACACACACACACACACACACACACACAUACACACACACACACACACACACACACACACACACACACACACACACACACACACACACACA